rnacentral:rRNA from 1 species
CGAGCUCGGCUCGACUCUCCCACCCUUUGUGAACGUACCUCUGUUGCUUUGGCGGCUCCGGCCGCCAAAGGACCUUCAAACUCCAGUCAGUAAACGCAGACGUCUGAUAAACAAGUUAAUAAACUAAAACUUUCAACAACGGAUCUCUUGGUUCUGGCAUCGAUGAAGAACGCAGCGAAAUGCGAUAAGUAAUGUGAAUUGCAGAAUUCAGUGAAUCAUCGAAUCUUUGAACGCACAUUGCGCCCCUUGGUAUUCCGGGGGGCAUGCCUGUUCGAGCGUCAUUACAACCCUCAAGCUCUGCUUGGAAUUGGGCACCGUCCUCACUGCGGACGCGCCUCAAAGACCUCGGCGGUGGCUGUUCAGCCCUCAAGCGUAGUAGAAUACACCUCGCUUUGGAGCGGUUGGCGUCGCCCGCCGGACGAACCUUCUGAACUUUUCUCAAGGUUGACCUCGGAUCAGGUAGGGAUACCCGCUGAACUUAAGCAUAUCAAUAGCCCGGAGGAA